rnacentral:lncRNA from 1 species
AAUUGGCACAUUUUUCUGUCUUGAAAGCAGCACUUUCAGAUAAGAAUUAAUGUAAAUUCUACUUUUGUAAAUUGCAACUUUAAAUUUCUCUGACUCAAAUUNNNNNNNNNNNNNNNNNNNNNNNNNNNNNNNNNNNNNNNNNNNNNNNNNNNNNNNNNNNNNNNNNNNNNNNNNNNNNNNNNNNNNNNNNNNNNNNNNNNUUUUGUAAAUUGCAACUUUAAAUUUCUCUGACUCAAAUUUGCAGCUUUGUAUAUGAGAAGAGGUUUUGGUAAGAGUUGAACAUUUUUAAACUGAAACUUUAAAGCAUCACCAACAGAUUGUGGAUUAGUUCACAUGCACAAACAAAACACACACACCUACAAUUAGCUCAAUUAGGAUACAUACACAAAUAUUUAGCUAAAUUAGAAACCACAGUUUUCAAUUUUAUAUAAUUACUAAUUAUUAAUGAGCAAAAUUCAUUUUCCUUUUAGAAUUUAAAAUACUCUUUAUGCCCCUGAUAUAUGUUGCAGAAAUUAUUAAUUGUGUCUCAUGUUAUUAGACUCAACAUUUUGGGCAAACUUAAAAUCCUUUUGACUCACAUAUACAUUAGCAGUUAUUAGUUGACUUUUACUAAUAGAUACACCUUUAUGAUGGUGUUUUUGUAGAGACAUAAGUAGUCAAAUAGUGGCAUUUCUUGCAGUUUUGUACAGUAUUUCAGUAUAGUGCAUAAAUAGGUAUGUUCAUAAAAUCAAUAAAAGGAGUUAUGGAAACAAGCAAAAUCACAGCAAAAACUGCUAUUCCUUUGCCUCAUUUAUAAUUUUAUUUUAUUCAUUUUUUUUUGUUUCAGUGUGAUUCUGUUAUGUGCUUUGCAUGAUUGUAUUAAUACCAAGGUCACAAAUGCAUCUUAUUAACAGAAUUUGCCAUGAAGACAGCCUUGACAUUAAAAAUUCGCCCUCACAAAAGACUUCAGUUCUCUGUAUACACAAUGUCUUCAAUACAUGUUAACAGACUACCUGACUGAAAGAGUCUCUAAAAAGAAAAGCUAGCAUUUGACUUCAGCCAGAUUUUACUUGAAAGCUCAGAGGGGAAUGGCUUCAUCUUGACGAUGUGGCAACAGCAUUCAAUCUGCCAUCAUUGUCUGUGAUAGUUGUGCCUUCUUUUAUUCAACUGAAUAAUAGGACAGAAUCACAGAAAACAUCUUAAGAUUGCAUACAUCAAAAUGUAGCUGUGGCCAUCACAUUCAUAUUUGCUAUUAAAAAUUAUUUGUAAUUAACUACUCAUGGGAAAACUGAAAAUAUCUUUAUAAGCAUUGUGCCUGUUUCUGAAAUAAGAAAGUGUUAAAAAAAAUCCAGUGCCUGAGUAGGAUGAUAACUCAAAGCAGUCAAAUGUAAUGGAUUUAUUUUGAUUUUAGUUUUGAAGGAACUAGAAUUACUGAAGAUUAUUUUAGAAGAAAAUAUACAGGAACAUGAAAGGUAUUUACCUUCUAUGAGCUGUGCUUAUAAGACAUUAAAGGUGUCUACAUAAAAUAUAUAAACCAUUAUGUAAUCAGAUUUCAGUUGUAGAAAAUAGCCCACUAUACCCAUUUUAAGCAGGUGAUAAUUUAUUAUAGAGUUUUAGAAAGAUGCUACAGAUUUGUUCAGAAGGUUAAUAAAAUAGAAUAUGAGAUAAACUUACAGGAAAUUUUUCAAUAUCUUCACUCUAGCAUGAGGCCAGCUAAGCUGCUGUCUCUUCUAUGAUUAAGAAAUGACUGGUCUAACAUGUGAAACACCACAACCACAUCAAGAAUAUCUCAGUCAGGAAGCUAAUAUGAUGUUCUUUGGUCCAGAACCACAUUGUGCCACAUACAGUGUUUAAUGGAAAAUUGAUGUCGUGUCCUGCUUCCUUUUUAAUAUCUAUAAGAUUAGUGACUGGGACGUUUGCUAACAUUGCCACAGUAAAAUCACCUGCCAUUAGCACUCUGCUUGCUAGCAGAAACAGCUGAAACAACAGAAACACAUUCUUCAGACUGCAUCAGUCUUCCAAAUCUCACAGAAUUGCAUCUGAUUUGUCAAACUUAAAUCAACCAGAACUUGAGUUAUAUAAUGUUUAUCUUUCAAACUUGAAAAUAUAGUAAGUCUUUUUCUGUCAGGUUACCCAUUUGACUAUUCAAAUUCCAAAAGUAUUCUUCUUUCCAUAUUUAACUCUACCACACACAAAAAAAGAAAAAGAAACCAUACAAUAGAAAUAACAAGCUAACAUCAAACAAGGGAUUUACCUAGUGUUCAGAGGUAAAGAAUCUGCCUGCCAAGCAGGAGACACAGGUUCAGUCCCUGGGUUGGGAAGGUUCCCCAAAGAAGGAAAUGGCAACCCAUUCUAGUAUUCUUGCCGGGGGAAU